GACGUAGGAGGCGAGCGUUAUCCGGAAUUAUUGGGCGUAAAGGGCGUGUAGGCGGCUCUUCAAGUCUCUGGUGAAAUCUCCCGGCUUAACCGGGAGGGUGCCAGGGAAACUGGAGGGCUUGAGGGCAGCAGAGGGGGGUGGAAUUCCCGGUGUAGUGGUGAUAUGCGUAGAUAUCGGGAGGAACACCAGUGGCGAAGGCGGCCCCCUGGGCUGUUCCUGACGCUGAGGCGCGAAAGCGUGGGGAGCAAACAGGAUUAGAUACCCCCGUA
rnacentral:rRNA from 1 species